AGCUCUUGGGGCUUUUAUUUAAUUUAAGUAGUCCACGUUAAUUUUUGAUAUUAAAGAUACUAAUUAGAUUUAGUAAAUUAAU
rnacentral:tRNA from 1 species